AGUGAAAGAGGCAGUUGAGGGGAAUCUCUUAAGGGACUUCAGUACUAAGUAACCUCCUCCAUUUUGAGUUUGUGUUUAUACCCAGGUCUUUAAUUGAUUUGAUUCUAAGAAGGGGCUGUGUUUAUACCCAGGUCUUUAAUUGAUUUGAUUCUAAGAAGGGGCUGUGUGUUUAUACCCAGGUCUUUAAUUGAUUUGAUUCUAAGGGGCUGUGUGUUUAUACCCAGGUCUGUUAUUGAUUUGAUUCUAAGGGGCUGUGUUUAUACCCAGGUCUGUUAUUGAUUUGAUUCUAAGAAGGGGCUGUGUUUAUACCCAGGUCUGUUAUUGAUUUGAUUCUAAGGGGCUGUGUUUAUACCCAGGUCUGUUAUUGAUUUGAUUCUAAGGGGCUGUGUGUUUAUACCCAGGUCUGUUAUUGAUUUGAUUCUAAGAAGGGGCUGUGUUUAUACCCAGGUCUGUUAUUGAUUUGAUUCUAAGGGGCUGUGUGUUUAUACCCAGGUCUUUAAUUGAUUUGAUUCUAAGGGGCUGUGUGUUUAUACCCAGGUCUGUUAUUGAUUUGAUUCUAAGGGGCUGUGUUUAUACCCAGGUCUGUUAUUGAUUUGAUUCUAAGGGGCUGUGUGUUUAUACCCAGGUCUGUUAUUGAUUUGAUUCUAAGAAGGGGCUGUGUGUUUAUACCCAGGUCUGUUAUUGAUUUGAUUCUAAGAAGGGGCUGUGUGUUUAUACCCAGGUCUGUUAUUGAUUUGAUUCUAAGGGGCUGUGUUUAUACCCAGGUCUGUUAUUGAUUUGAUUCUAAGGGGCUGUGUGUUUAUACCCAGGUCUGUUAUUGAUUUGAUUCUAAGAAGGGGCCGUGUGUUUAUACCCAGGUCUGUUAUUGAUUUGAUUCUAAGAAGGGGCUGUGUUUAUACCCAGGUCUGUUAUUGAUUUGAUUCUAAGGGGCUGUGUUUAUACCCAGGUCUGUUAUUGAUUUGAUUCUAAGGGGCUGUGUUUAUACCCAGGUCUUUAAUUGAUUUGAUUCUAAGAAGGGGCUGUGUUUAUACCCAGGUCUUUAAUUGAUUUGAUUCUAAGAAGGGGCUGUGUUUAUACCCAGGUCUUUAAUUGAUUUGAUUCUAAGAAGGGGCUGUGUUUAUACCCAGGUCUUUAAUUGAUUUGAUUCUAAGAAGGGGCUGUGUGUUUAUACCCAGGUCUGUUAUUGAUUUGAUUCUAAGGGGCUGUGUUUAUACCCAGGUCUGUUAUUGAUUUGAUUCUAAGAAGGGGCUGUGUUUAUACCCAGGUCUGUUAUUGAUUUGAUUCUAAGAAGGGGCCGUGUUUAUACCCAGGUCUGUUAUUGAUUUGAUUCUAAGAAGGGGCCGUGUUUAUACCCAGGUCUGUUAUUGAUUUGAUUCUAAGAAGGGGCCGUGUUUAUACCCAGGUCUCUUAUUGAUUUGAUUCUAAGAAGGGGCCGUGUGUUUAUACCCAGGUCUGUUAUUGAUUUGAUUCUAAGAAGGGGCUGUGUUUAUACCCAGGUCUGUUAUUGAUUUGAUUCUAAGAAGGGGCCGUGUUUAUACCCAGGUCUGUUAUUGAUUUGAUUCUAAGAAGGGGCCGUGUUUAUACCCAGGUCUGUUAUUGAUUUGAUUCUAAGAAGGGGCUGUGUUUAUACCCAGGUCUGUUAUUGAUUUGAUUCUAAGAAGGGGCUGUGUUUAUACCCAGGUCUGUUAUUGAUUUGAUUCUAAGAAGGGGCUGUGUUUAUACCCAGGUCUGUUAUUGAUUUGAUUCUAAGAAGGGGCUGUGUUUAUACCCAGGUCUUUAAUUGAUUUGAUUCUAAGAAGGGGCUGUGUUUAUACCCAGGUCUGUUAUUGAUUUGAUUCUAAGAAGGGGCUGUGUUUAUACCCAGGUCUGUUAUUGAUUUGAUUCUAAGAAGGGGCUGUGUUUAUACCCAGGUCUGUUAUUGAUUUGAUUCUAAGAAGGGGCUGUGUUUAUACCCAGGUCUGGUAUUGAUUUGAUUCUAAGAAGGGGCUGUGUUUAUACCCAGGUCUUUAAUUGAUUUGAUUCUAAGAAGGGGCUGUGUUUAUACCCAGGUCUGUUAUUGAUUUGAUUCUAAGAAGGGGCUGUGUUUAUACCCAGGUCUGUUAUUGAUUUGAUUCUAAGAAGGGGCUGUGUUUAUACCCAGGUCUGUUAUUGAUUUGAUUCUAAGAAGGGGCUGUGUUUAUACCCAGGUCUGGUAUUGAUUUGAUUCUAAGAAGGGGCUGUGUUUAUACCCAGGUCUUUAAUUGAUUUGAUUCUAAGAAGGGGCUGUGUUUAUACCCAGGUCUGUUAUUGAUUUGAUUCUAAGAAGGGGCUGUGUUUAUACCCAGGUCUGUUAUUGAUUUGAUUCUAAGAAGGGGCUGUGUUUAUACCCAGGUCUGUUAUUGAUUUGAUUCUAAGAAGGGGCUGUGUGUUUAUACCCAGGUCUGUUAUUGAUUUGAUUCUAAGAAGGGGCUGUGUUUAUACCCAGGUCUGUUAUUGAUUUGAUUCUAAGAAGGGGCUGUGUUUAUACCCAGGUCUGUUAUUGAUUUGAUUCUAAGGGGCUGUGUUUAUACCCAGGUCUGUUAUUGAUUUGAUUCUAAGAAGGGGCUGUGUUUAUACCCAGGUCUGUUAUUGAUUUGAUUCUAAGGGGCUGUGUGUUUAUACCCAGGUCUGUUAUUGAUUUGAUUCUAAGGGGCUGUGUGUUUAUACCCAGGUCUGUUAUUGAUUUGAUUCUAAGGGGCUGUGUUUAUACCCAGGUCUGUUAUUGAUUUGAUUCUAAGGGGCUGUGUGUUUAUACCCAGGUCUGUUAUUGAUUUGAUUCUAAGAAGGGGCUGUGUGUUUAUACCCAGGUCUUUAAUUGAUUUGAUUCUAAGGGGCUGUGUGUUUAUACCCAGGUCUGUUAUUGAUUUGAUUCUAAGAAGGGGCUGUGUGUUUAUACCCAGGUCUGUUAUUGAUUUGAUUCUAAGAAGGGGCUGUGUUUAUACCCAGGUCUGUUAUUGAUUUGAUUCUAAGAAGGGGCUGUGUGUUUAUACCCAGGUCUGUUAUUGAUUUGAUUCUAAGAAGGGGCUGUGUUUAUACCCAGGUCUGUUAUUGAUUUGAUUCUAAGAAGGGGCUGUGUUUAUACCCAGGUCUGUUAUUGAUUUGAUUCUAAGAAGGGGCUGUGUUUAUACCCAGGUCUGUUAUUGAUUUGAUUCUAAGAAGGGGCUGUGUUUAUACCCAGGUCUGUUAUUGAUUUGAUUCUAAGAAGGGGCUGUGUGUUUAUACCCAGGUCUGUUAUUGAUUUGAUUCUAAGAAGGGGCUGUGUUUAUACCCAGGUCUGUUAUUGAUUUGAUUCUAAGAAGGGGCUGUGUUUAUACCCAGGUCUGUUAUUGAUUUGAUUCUAAGAAGGGGCUGUGUUUAUACCCAGGUCUGUUAUUGAUUUGAUUCUAAGAAGGGGCUGUGUUUAUACCCAGGUCUUUAAUUGAUUUGAUUCUAAGAAGGGGCUGUGUUUAUACCCAGGUCUGUUAUUGAUUUGAUUCUAAGGGGCUGUGUUUAUACCCAGGUCUGUUAUUGAUUUGAUUCUAAGAAGGGGCUGUGUUUAUACCCAGGUCUUUAAUUGAUUUGAUUCUAAGAAGGGGCUGUGUUUAUACCCAGGUCUUUAAUUGAUUUGAUUCUAAGAAGGGGCUGUGUUUAUACCCAGGUCUUUUAUUGAUUUGAUUCUAAGAAGGGGCUGUGUUUAUACCCAGGUCUGUUAUUGAUUUGAUUCUAAGAAGGGGCUGUGUUUAUACCCAGGUCUGUUAUUGAUUUGAUUCUAAGAAGGGGCUGUGUUUAUACCCAGGUCUGUUAUUGAUUUGAUUCUAAGAAGGGGCUGUGUUUAUACCCAGGUCUGUUAUUGAUUUGAUUCUAAGAAGGGGCUGUGUUUAUACCCAGGUCUGUUAUUGAUUUGAUUCUAAGGGGCUGUGUUUAUACCCAGGUCUGUUAUUGAUUUGAUUCUAAGAAGGGGCUGUGUUUAUACCCAGGUCUGUUAUUGAUUUGAUUCUAAGAAGGGGCUGUGUUUAUACCCAGGUCUGUUAUUGAUUUGAUUCUAAGAAGGGGCUGUGUUUAUACCCAGGUCUGUUAUUGAUUUGAUUCUAAGAAGGGGCUGUGUUUAUACCCAGGUCUGUUAUUGAUUUGAUUCUAAGAAGGGGCUGUGUUUAUACCCAGGUCUGUUAUUGAUUUGAUUCUAAGAAGGGGCUGUGUUUAUACCCAGGUCUGUUAUUGAUUUGAUUCUAAGAAGGGGCUGUGUUUAUACCCAGGUCUGUUAUUGAUUUGAUUCUAAGAAGGGGCUGUGUUUAUACCCAGGUCUGUUAUUGAUUUGAUUCUAAGAAGGGGCUGUGUUUAUACCCAGGUCUGUUAUUGAUUUGAUUCUAAGAAGGGGCUGUGUUUAUACCCAGGUCUGUUAUUGAUUUGAUUCUAAGAG